UGCUCAGUUACGUAUCUAAGUGGCCUA
rnacentral:piRNA from 1 species